AUGAAGUGCGAUUACACUUUAGUGUUCCUGCUCCUGAAAGCAGCCGUGACCCUCUGGGGAGUGAGUGGUCAGGAUACAGUCUCCCAAUCGCCACUCACUGUGACAGUUGUGGAGAAGGAACAAAUAAUUAUCAACUGUUCUACAACAGAACAGAAUCGCAUCUUACAAUGGUACAGACAGUAUCCGAACCAGCCUCUCAAACACUUGGUAUCAGGAAAGACAGGAGAGCAGCAGAAGGAGAGGAUCACAGCUACAAUGAACUAUAGAGAGAAGGGCAGUAAUCUGAGCAUCACACGCACAGAAGUGACAGACGCCGCUACCUACUUGUGUGCAGUGGAGACACAGUGA